rnacentral:rRNA from 1 species
GAUGAACGCUAGCGGCAGGCCUAACACAUGCAAGUCGAGGGGCAUCACGGAUUGCUUGCAAUCUGGUGGCGACCGGCGCACGGGUGCGUAACGCGUAUACAACCUACCUUUUGGAGGGGAAUAGCCCAGAGAAAUUUGGAUUAAUACCCCAUAGUAUAUAGGAAUCUCCUGAUUUUUAUAUUAAACAUUUAUGGCCAUUAGAUGGGUAUGCGUCCUAUUAGCUAGUUGGUGUGGUAACGGCACACCAAGGCUACGAUAGGUAGGGGUCCUGAGAGGGAGAUCCCCACACUGGUACUGAGACACGGACCAGACUCCUACGGGAGGCAGCAGUGAGGAAUAUUGGACAAUGGGCGGGAGCCUGAUCCAGCCAUGCCGCGUGCAGGAAGACUGCCCUAUGGGUUGUAAACUGCUUUUACAGAGGAAGAACCACCCCCACGUGUGGGGGUUUGACGGUACUCUGCGAAUAAGGAUCGGCUAACUCCGUG